AUGGCGGCAAAGAAACAUCUCUUUCGCUUUGGGUCUUUUGCGAUAAAGGACGGGUCAGAGAUUCCUUUCCGGGGAGACAUCUGGCUAGGCAAUGCCAGUCUCCAAGAACAAUAUCCAGUCUUGUACAUCAUUGCUCGCGAGAAGAAUAAUACUAUUGCACAUGUGCUUAGUUCAUCCCCGCCGAAUAUUUCGUUCAGGCGGGAUUUGAUUGGGCCUCGACUUACGUCAUGGCAUAAUCUAUUUUCCAGGUUGGAUUCGAUUAACCUGAUACAAGACCGAGAUGUGUUUCGCUGAACCUUACUACAUCGGGGUCUUUCACAGUAG
rnacentral:rRNA from 1 species